UACGUAGGGUGCGAGCGUUAAUCGGAAUUACUGGGCGUAAAGCGUGCGCAGGCGGUUCGUUAAGUCAGAUGUGAAAGCCCCGGGCUCAACCUGGGAACUGCAUUUGAAACUGGCGGGCUUGAGUGUGGCAGAGGGGGGUGGAAUUCCGCGUGUAGCAGUGAAAUGCGUAGAUAUCAGGAGGAACACCGGUGGCGAAGGCGGCUACCUGGACAGAAACUGACGCUGAGGCGCGAAAGCUAGGGGAGCAAACAGG
rnacentral:rRNA from 1 species